GACGAACGCUGGCGGCGUGCCUAAUACAUGCAAGUCGAGCGGGCCUCCGGAGGUGCUUGCACCUCCGGAAGGCCAGCGGCGGACGGGUGAGUAACACGUGGGCAACCUGCCUUUGAGGCCGGGAUAACACCGGGAAACCGGUGCUAAUACCGGAUGCGUCCCCUUUCGCGCCUGCGAGAGGGGAGAAAUAGACGGUCUUCGGGCCGUCGCUCAAAGAGGGGCCCGCGGCGCAUUAGCUGGUUGGGGGGGUAAGGGCCUACCAAGGCGACGAUGCGUUGCCGCCCUGGGAGGGGGAUCGGCCACACUGGGACUGAGACACGGCCCAGACUCCUGCGGGAGGAAGCAGUAGGGAAUCAUCCGCAAUGGGCGAAAGCCUGACGGUGCAACGCCGCGUGAGUGAGGAAGGUUUUCGGAUCGUAAAGCUCUGUUGUGAGGGAAGAACAGCUUCCGGAGGAAAUGCCGGAGGUUUGCCGGUACCUCACCAGAAAGCCCCGGCUAACUACGUGCCAGCCGCCGCCGUAAUAC
rnacentral:rRNA from 1 species